rnacentral:rRNA from 1 species
CCCUUAGAUGUUCUGGGCCGCACGCGCGCUACACUGAUGCACUCAACGAGUCUAAAACCUGGUCUGAUAGGGCUGGGUAAUCUUUUGAAUGUGCAUCGUGAUUGGGAUAGAUGAUUGCAAUUCUUCAUCUUCAACGAGGAAUGCCUAGUAAACGCAAGUCAUCAGCUUGCAUUGAUUACGUCCCUGCCCUUUGUACACACCGCCCGUCGCUCCUACCGAUUGAAUGUUCCGAUGAAUACCAUGGACUGAGAGUAUGAAUGGGUUCGCCUAUUUCUGCUUCUCGGGAAGUGGAGUAAAUCUUAACAUUUAGAGGAAGGAGAAGUCGUAACA